rnacentral:lncRNA from 1 species
GAAGAAUGCUUGUACCAUCCACCGCAGUUCAGCCUCCUUUGAUUUCGUAUUCCCAGAGCAAAGGUCUGCCUAUGCUUUAAUUGUCGUAUGGGUCUUCGAUGUUCUGUUCCAUCUCGUCUACCAUAAAUUUGUCCUCCGUAUCCUGAAGGAUAUAAGAAUUACUGAUACAUGCUUUGUUUGGCUCCAAUGCAGAGGAUGAGAAUGGCAACUCCUGUCAUGUUUUGGAUCUUUAAUGUCCCUAUAGACCCUUAUGGGAAAGCUUUAUUCUCCAGGCUGUGACACUCAUAGCAGAUGAUAGACCCUUUAAGAGGUAAAACCUGGUUUAAAUCGACCAAAGGGAUAUACUCCUGGAAGAGAUAGUAGGAAUGGAGCCUUGAUCAAUCAUACACACUCUCUCUCCUCUCUCUGUCCCUCCAUUUUUCCUUACUAUUUUUAGAAAGAUGAGCAGGUUUUCCACCAGCUAUUCACCCACAUGAGGACUCUGCUGAAGAGGAGGAACCCACUGAUCACAGAAUGAAGUUUUUAGCAUUGUGACCCAAAAUAAAUCUUACCUCCUUAAGUA